AGACGAUGACGUCGAUAGGUGGCAGGUGUAAAGGUGGAAACACCAAAGCCGAGCCAUACUAAUUGCCCGAGCGCGU
rnacentral:rRNA from 1 species